UUAAGCUGCCAGAUUUCUUAAGAGACUUAUCCGGCCGGCUACAGACCCUUUAGACCCAAUAAUAACGGUUACCACUCGAGCCGCCGGUGUUACCGCGGCGGCUGGCACCGGUCUUGCCCGGCCCUUGCUAUGAAAUGCUUUUUAGGCAUCUCGACAGCCAGAUUUGUAACCUGGCACUCGAGGUUCCCUUAUCGCUGUUGCCAGCAUUGUAAAGUUUUCGCGCCUGCUGCACCCCGUAGGGCCUGGAUUCGUGUCUCAGAAUCCAUCUCCGGGCUCUUGCUCUCACAACCCGUACCCGUCGUAGGCUAGUAGGUACGCUACACCCACUACUACCUGAUAGGCCGCAGACCCAUCCUUAGGCGCCGGAGCUUUAAAUCUCGAUGCAUUCCAGCAAUCGAGACCUAUCGGGUAUUAUACCCAGUUUCCCGGGUUUAUCCCCGUCCUAAGGGCAGGUUGUCCACGUGUUACUGAGCAGUU
rnacentral:rRNA from 1 species